rnacentral:snRNA from 1 species
GUCCCGUCAGGGGCAUUUGAUAAAAUUAAAACGAUACAGAGAAGAUAACUACACUAGAAUGAUACAUAUAAGUCGAUACAUAGUACCGAGUUUU